GUCCCUUCGGAGACAUCCGAUAAAAUUGGAACGAUACAGAGAUGAUUAGCAUGAUCCCUGCGUAAAGAUGACACGUAUAAAUUGAGAAAUGAUCCAAAUUUUU
rfam:Brassica napus, WGS project CCCW01000000 data, contig: 2007